UACGGAGGGUGCGAGCGUUAAUCGGAAUCACUGGGCGUAAAGCGCGCGUAGGCGGCUUUUCAAGUCAGGGGUGAAAUCCCACGGCCCAACCGUGGAGCUGCCUUUGAAACUGUAGAGCUUGAGUGUCGGAGAGGGUGGCGGAAUUCCAGGUGUAGGAGUGAAAUCCGUAGAUAUCUGGAGGAACACCGGUGGCGAAGGCGGCCACCUGGACGACAACUGACGCUGAGGUGCGAGAGCGUGGGUAGCAAACAGG
rnacentral:rRNA from 1 species